rnacentral:rRNA from 1 species
UCGGGAAUUUUGGGCAAUGGGCGAAAGCCUGGCCCAGCAACGCCGCGUGAAGGAUGAAGUAUUUCGGUAUGUAAACUUCGAAAGAAUAGGAAGAAUAAAUGACGGUACUAUUUAUAAGGUCCGGCUAACUACGUGCCAGCAGCCGCGGUAAUACGUAGGGACCAAGCGUUGUUCGGAUUUACUGGGCGUAAAGGGCGCGUAGGCGGCAAUUCAAGUCAUCUGUGAAAUCUCCGGGCUUAACUCGGAACGGUCAGAUGAUACUGCUUUGCUAGAGUGCAGAAGGGGCAAUCGGAAUUCUUGGUGUAGCGGUGAAAUGCGUAGAUAUUGGGAAGAACACCAGUGGCGAAGGCGGCUAACUGGUCCGGUACUGACGCUGAGGUGCGAAAGCGUGGGGAGCAAACAGGAUUAGAUACCCCAGUAGUCCCUGAGCGGGCUGGCAAGGCGCAU